rnacentral:rRNA from 1 species
UACGUAGGGUGCAAGCGUUGUCCGGAAUUAUUGGGCGUAAAGAGCUCGUAGGCGGUUUGUCGCGUCUGCUGUGAAAACGCGAGGCUCAACCUCGCGCCUGCAGUGGGUACGGGCAGACUAGAGUGCGGUAGGGGAGAUUGGAAUUCCUGGUGUAGCGGUGGAAUGCGCAGAUAUCAGGAGGAACACCGAUGGCGAAGGCAGAUCUCUGGGCCGUAACUGACGCUGAGGAGCGAAAGCGUGGGGAGCAAACAGG